rnacentral:rRNA from 1 species
GCAGGCCUAACACAUGCAAGUCGAGCGGUAGCACAGAGAGCUUGCUCUCGGGUGACGAGCGGCGGACGGGUGAGUAAUGUCUGGGAAACUGCCUGAUGGAGGGGGAUAACUACUGGAAACGGUAGCUAAUACCGCAUAACGUCGCAAGACCAAAGUGGGGGACCUUCGGGCCUCAUGCCAUCAGAUGUGCCCAGAUGGGAUUAGCUGGUAGGUGGGGUAACGGCUCACCUAGGCGACGAUCCCUAGCUGGUCUGAGAGGAUGACCAGCCACACUGGAACUGAGACACGGUCCAGACUCCUACGGGAGGCAGCAGUGGGGAAUAUUGCACAAUGGGCGCAAGCCUGAUGCAGCCAUGCCGCGUGUGUGAAGAAGGCCUUCGGGUUGUAAAGCACUUUCAGCGGGGAGGAAGGCGAUGAGGUUAAUAACCUCAUCGAUUGACGUUACCCGCAGAAGAAGCACCGGCUAACUCCGUGCCAGCAGCCGCGGUAAUACGGAGGGUGCAAGCGUUAAUCGGAAUUACUGGGCGUAAAGCGCACGCAGGCGGUCUGUCAAGUCGGAUGUGAAAUCCCCGGGCUCAACCUGGGAACUGCAUUCGAAACUGGCAGGCUAGAGUCUUGUAGAGGGGGGUAGAAUUCCAGGUGUAGCGGUGAAAUGCGUAGAGAUCUGGAGGAAUACCGGUGGCGAAGGCGGCCCCCUGGACAAAGACUGACGCUCAGGUGCGAAAGCGUGGGGAGCAAACAGGAUUAGAUACCCUGGUAGUCCACGCUGUAAACGAUGUCGAUUUGGAGGUUGUGCCCUUGAGGCGUGGCUUCCGGAGCUAACGCGUUAAAUCGACCGCCUGGGGAGUACGGCCGCAAGGUUAAAACUCAAAUGAAUUGACGGGGGCCCGCACAAGCGGUGGAGCAUGUGGUUUAAUUCGAUGCAACGCGAAGAACCUUACCUGGUCUUGACAUCCACAGAACUUUCCAGAGAUGGAUUGGUGCCUUCGGGAACUGUGAGACAGGUGCUGCAUGGCUGUCGUCAGCUCGUGUUGUGAAAUGUUGGGUUAAGUCCCGCAACGAGCGCAACCCUUAUCCUUUGUUGCCAGCGGUCCGGCCGGGAACUCAAAGGAGACUGCCAGUGAUAAACUGGAGGAAGGUGGGGAUGAC